rnacentral:rRNA from 1 species
UAGCCUACGGGACGCAGCAGUGGGGGAUAUUGCACAAUGGGGGAAACCCUGAUGCAGCGACGCCGCGUGAGUGAAGAAGUAUUUCGGUAUGUAAAGCUCUAUCGGCAGGGAAGAAAAAAAUGACAGUACCUGACUAAGAAGCCCCGGCUAACUACGUGCCAGCAGCCGCGGGAAUACGUAGGGGGCAAGCGUUAUCCGGAUUUACUGGGUGUAAAGGGAGCGUAGGCGGCCAUGCAAGUCAGAAGUGAAAACCCGGGGCUCAACCCUGGGAGUGCUUUUGAAACUGGGCGGCUAGAGAGUCGGGG